GUUGAAACACUGGUUUUCGUUCGAUCACCGAAGUUAAACAACGUCGAGCCUGGUCAGAAACUAGAUGGGUGACCGCUUGAGAAUAUCAGUUACUGUAA